rnacentral:pre_miRNA from 1 species
CGGACGUUAAACGAUGAUGAUGAUGACGAUGAUGAUAUUCAUAUCAUUAUCAUCAUCAUCAGCAUCAUCAUCGUUUAACGUCCG